rnacentral:rRNA from 1 species
AAAACGACUCUCGGCAACGGAUAUCUCGGCUCUCGCAUCGAUGAAGAACGUAGCGAAAUGCGAUACUUGGUGUGAAUUGCAGAAUCCCGUGAACCAUCGAUCUUUGAACGCAAGUUGCGCCCUAAGCCAUUUGGCCGAGGGCACGUCUGCCUAGGGCGUCAAUC